rnacentral:rRNA from 1 species
AAUGAUGGCUCAGGACGAACGCUGGCGGCGCGCCUAACACAUGCAAGUCGAACGAGAGAUGAGGAGCUUGCUCUUCAAAUCGAGUGGCGAACGGGUGAGUAACGCGUGAGGAACCUGCCUCAAAGAGGGGGACAACAGUUGGAAACGACUGCUAAUACCGCAUAAGCCCACGGCUCGGCAUCGAGCAGAGGGAAAAGGAGCAAUCCGCUUUGAGAUGGCCUCGCGUCCGAUUAG